rnacentral:rRNA from 1 species
GUGGGGAAUAUUGGGCAAUGGGCGAAAGCCUGAUCCAGCAAUGCCGCGUGAGUGAUGAAGGCCCUAGGGUUGUAAAGCUCUUUUACCCGGGAUGAUAAUGACAGUACCGGGAGAAUAAGCUCCGGCUAACUUCGUGCCAGCAGCCGCGGUAAUACGAGGGGAGCUAGCGUUGUUCGGAAUUACUGGGCGUAAAGCGCGCGUAGGCGGUUUUUUAAGUCAGAGGUGAAAGCCCGGGGCUCAACCCCGGAAUAGCCUUUGAAACUGGAAAACUAGAAUCUUGGAGAGGUCAGUGGAAUUCCGAGUGUAGAGGUGAAAUUCGUAGAUAUUCGGAAGAACACCAGUGGCGAAGGCGACUGACUGGACAAGUAUUGACGCUGAGGUGCGAAAGCGUGGGGAGCAAACAGGAUUAGAAACCCCUGUAGUCC